UAGUGAGUUUGAUCCUGGCUCAGAACGAACGCUGGCGGCAUGCCUAACACAUGCAAGUCGAACGAAGCCUUCGGACUUAGUGGCGCACGGGUGCGUAACGCGUGGGAAUCUGCCCUUGGGUUCGGAAUAACAGUUAGAAAUGACUGCUAAUACCGGAUGAUGUCUUCGGACCAAAGAUUUAUCGCCCAAGGAUGAGCCCGCGUAAGAUUAGCUUGUUGGUGAGGUAAAGGCUCACCAAGGCGACGAUCUUUAGCUGGUCUGAGAGGAUGAUCAGCCACGACUGGGACUGA
rnacentral:rRNA from 1 species